UACGGAGGAUCCGAGCGUUAUCCGGAUUUAUUGGGUUUAAAGGGUGCGCAGGCGGGAGAUUAAGUCGGCGGUGAAAUUCUGCAGCUUAACUGUAACAGUGCCGUUGAUACUGGGGAGCUAGGAUUUGGUUGCUGUGGGUGGAAUGUGUGGUGUAGCGGUGAAAUGCUUAGAGAUCACACAGAAUAUCGAUUGCGAAGGCAGCUCACAAAGCCAAGAUUGACGCUGAGGCACGAAAGUGUGGGGAUCAAACAGGA
rnacentral:rRNA from 1 species